GCAGACUGACCACUGGGCCUGGCUCCUCCUUCCAAACUAAACUGCACCAAAGCCUUCUGCCCUGUUAGGGGCUGGGAAGGCCAAAAAGGAACAUGCCUGUUUUCUCCUUCUGAGUUUGGAACUGACUGAGAAAUAAGACCAAGAGACAGACCACUGGAGAUCUAAAUAUCAGCUUUAUUUAUUGAUAAAGCUGACCUGAACAGUGUGGCUUGACCUGCAGCCAAAUGGGUUCCUGAAAUGUCCCUUCUGAUCUUUGCUUACCCUGCAAAGCCGGCGUGGCCACACUCACCACAUGGCAGACCAGAAUGCAACUGUCCUGUGGACAGGCUGACUCUAAAAGGACACACAGAGAGAAAAAGCAGGGGCAGAUUCAUCAGAUGGUUUGCAGGUGGCAGUGGCCGAGGUUUAGUCUCACACAACACAACAAAUGAGAAAGGAGUCUUUAAAAAGAGAAGAAAUCUUACAGUAAAUCAUUCUUUGUUGAUUUGAGUUCCACAAUCUCUGCCAGAAACUCUGGAACUUGAGUACUACCAGAAAGAAACAAAAUGUGGAUAGACCUUGACAAACUGGAGCAGGUUCUGAGGAUCUGACCAUGUUGGUGUGAGUCUGAAGAUGCCAUCACGGGGAGAAUAGGGGGAAAGGAUCACCAUGACUGAAGGAAGCAACAUGUACUUUGAGCAUAAGAAAAAAAAAACGAGAAAAGGCUGGAAUUUAAAAGGAGGAUGGAAUAAGAAUGGGUGAGCUUCCUAGGGGUUUACAUAAUUAAAUGUGUAAGAAGUGGCCCCAGAACACAAGUUACAGUUGCCCUGAAUAAGGACUUUGCCCUACUCAUUUUUGUCUCUCAAGCAAAUAACACUGUGUUUGAU
rnacentral:lncRNA from 9 species